UUUGCUUACUGACAGUAGCAAAACUGUAAUUAAAUCAAGCUUUACGGUCAUUUCGUGAUGAAAAAGAGAAACUAUCGGGGGAAACGAUUCUGUCGAACGCGUUUGUCAGAUUGACGAGGUUCUCCCGAAGGUAGUUGAUGCCAUAUUGAUGUUGAGUUGGCACCGGAUGCCAACUGGGUUGUUUAUUGGUUGUAGCAAAACUGGAUUUAAGUCAGUAAGUAAAUUCGGCAAGAUAAAUAAACGAUAAUU